AGAAUCAACGCUGGCGGCGUGCCUAACACAUGCAAGUCGAACGAGAAAGUGGAGCAAUCCAUGAGUAAAGUGGCGCACGGGUGAGUAACACGUGACUAACCUACCCUUGAGUGGGGGAUAACCUAGGGAAACCUGGGCUAAUACCGCAUAAUACCGAGAGGUCAAAGGAGCAAUUCGCUUUAGGAGGGGGUCGCGGCCGAUUAGUUAGUUGGCGGGGUAAUGGCCCACCAAGACUAUGAUCGGUA
rnacentral:rRNA from 1 species